rnacentral:rRNA from 1 species
UUAUAAAUAAAAAAUAACUCUAAACAAAAAACAUAAAAAAAAUUUUUUAGAAAACUUAAAAAAUUAAACAAAGAAGUAUAAUUAUUAGAAAAUUAAACAAAGAAGUUAUAAAUUACAGUACUGUAAAGGAAAUACGAAAAAUUUAAAAAUUUUAUUUUAGAAAAAGAAAAAUUUAAAAAUUUUACCUUUUGUAUCAUGGUUUAACAACAAAUAAAAGAUUAUAUAAAAUCUUUACCCGAAACCAAGAGAUCUAAUGAAACCCCAACAAAAUGGUUGUAAAAGUAUUACUGUUACAAAAGUAAACUAAGAGGAUUCAUUAGCCAUAAAAAAUGAAACGAGCUUGGUGAUAGCUGGUUUUCUGAAAAAUGAGUUUAAGCUCAAGCUACUAUAUUUUAUUAUAACUUAAAUAAAAUAAAAAUAAAAAGCUAAACCAAAAGGGAUAAACUUUUUGGUUAAAGGAAAAAGCCUAUAAAAAUAGUUAAAGUCAAUAAACAACAAAAAGAAAAUAUGAAUAGUAGGCCUAAAAGCAGCCACCUAAAAAAAAGCGUUAAAGCUUAACAAAAAAUAUUAAAAACAAUAAUUCAUGAAUUUUAAACUAUAACUUUUUAAAACUUUUACAGAAUAUUGACUUUUAAGUCAAAAAAUAAUGUUAAAAUAAGUAUUUUAUUAGAUUAAGUUAAAAAUAUAAACUAUUCUAACAUUUUAAACCUUUAAAUGGAAGAAAGAAAAAACUAUAAACAAGAAAAUAAUUUUAUUAAUAGUUAACCCAACACCGGUAAUCAAAAAAAAAAUUAAAUAAAAGGAAGGAAUUCGGCAAGACUUAGCCUCGCCUGUUUACCAAAAACAUCGCUCUUUGAAAACUACAUUAAUAAAGAGUACUGCCUGCCCAGUGACUAAAAUUCAACGGCCGCGGUAUCUUGACCGUGCAAAGGUAGCAUAAUAAUUUGCUCUUUAAUUGAGGGCUAGUAUGAAAGGCAAGACGAAGGCCAAACUGUCUCCCCUUUAAAAAAAGAAAUUAAUAUUCUAGUGAAGAAGCUAUAAUAAAACCGCAAGACGAGAAGACCCUGUCGAGCUUAAGAAAAUUCUUAUUUUUAAAAUAAAACAAAGCUAAUUUUCCUAAAAAUACUUAUAAUAUAUAAAUAAUAAGAAUAUCUUUGGUUGGGGCAACCACGAAGAAAAAAACAACCUUCGAUUAAACAAAAAAAAUAAACAAAUUUAAAAACUUUAAAAUAAAAAGUAAAUUAAACGAUCCAGAAAAAUACUGAACAAAGGAAUAAGUUACCGCAGGGAUAACAGCGUUAUUCUCUUUAAGAGCUCUUAUUGACAAGAGAGUUUGCGACCUCGAUGUUGGACCGGGGUACCCAAAAGAUGUAGAAGUCUUUAAUGGUAGGUCUGUUCGACCUUUAAAACCCUACGCGAUCUGAGUUCAGACCGACGCAAGUCAGGUCAGUUUCUAUCUACGGAAAAGCAAUUUUAUUAGUACGAAAGGAAUUUAAAAUAGGAAUUAAUUAUUCUAAGAAAACUCCAAAAAAAAACUGAAAACAAAUAAAGAAAGCUU